UCUAGCGUGGCGUAGAAUCGGCAUAUGAGUAUCUUGUAUAAAAAUUUUACUUACGUCACCGUGCGAACCCGACCAUAAUAUACUUAGUGAAGAAUAUAUCCCUAUCUGUAUUGGUAGGUAGCUUGAAAUAAGCAGGUGUGGUGAUGAUAGCAAAAGCUUCUAGUGUUGUGGGCGGUGGGGAUUAAUUUUGUAAAUACGUGGACAAUACGUGGCCUACAAUAUAUAAAAAUGCUUCAAUCCAAUGCGGUUAAAAAUUAUUUUAUACUCUGUGGCUAGGCAAAACUCACUUUUUCUUGUAAAUCUAGAGAUGUGUGAAGUGAUAAAAGAAUGACAUAAAAUUUUAAAA